rnacentral:rRNA from 1 species
AGGACGAACGCUGGCGGCGCGCUUAACACAUGCAAGUCGAGCGAGAACCGGGACUUCGGUCCCGGGGACAGCGGCGAACGGGUGAGUAACACGUGGGUAAUCAACCCUCGGCACCGGGAUAGCCCGAGGAAACUCGGAUUAAUACCGGAUAGCCCCUCCGACUCUCGAGUCGGUCGGGAAAGGUAGCUUAGGCCUCUGGCCGGGGACGAGCCCGCGGCGGAUUAGCUUGUUGGUGGGGUAAUGGCCUACCAAGGCAACGAUCCGUAGCUGGUCUGAGAGGACGAUCAGCCACACUGGGACUGAGACACGGCCCAGACUCCUACGGGAGGCAGCAGUGGGGAAUCUUGCGCAGUGGGCGAAAGCCUGACGCAGCGACGCCGCGUGAGGGAAGAAGGCCUUCGGGUUGUAAACCUCUUUCAGGAGGACGAAGCUACUCGGGUGAAUAGCCCAGAGGGUGACGGUACCUCCGAGAAGAAGCCCCGGCUAACUACGUGCCAGCAGCCGC